rnacentral:misc_RNA from 1 species
AACAUCGCGCACCUGCGGGAACCUGCGGAGGGAUCAUUACAGAGUUCGUGCCCUCGCGGGUAGAUCUCCCACCCUUGUGUAUUCUCUACAUCUUGUUGCUUUGGCAGGCCGUUGGUUCGCCAACCACCGGCUCGCGGGCUGGUGCGUGCCUGCCAGAGGACCUCUCAAACUCGGUUUGUUAGUGUCGUCUGAGUACCAUAACAAUCGUUAAAACUUUCAACAACGGAUCUCAGAUCGGAA